CACACGGUCUCGCACUGGUGAUGUUCAUUCAAAUUUCUGCCCUAUCAACUUGAUGGUAGUAUAUAGGACUACCAUGGGUUAUAACGGGUAACGGAGGAUAGGUUGAUUCCGGAGAAGGAGCAUGAGAAACGGCUACUAUUUCUAAGGAAAGCAGCAGGCGCGCAAAAUUAUUCAAUGGAAACAAAUUUCCGAAAAUAGUGACAAAAAAUAUCAAUGCUGAGCACAAUGUGUUUGGUAAUUGGAAUGAGUACAAUUUAAAUCCCUUAACAAGUAACAAUUAGAGGGCAAGUCUGGUGCCAGCAGCCGCGGUAAUUCCAGCUCUAAUAGCGUAUAUUAAUAUUGUUGCAGUUAAAAAGCUCGUAGUUGAAAUUUGGAACUUUAUUGUAUUGGUUUAUCUUUUUGAUGAACUGUAUAAUGGGUUUCUUCCUACU
rnacentral:rRNA from 1 species